UAAGAAACACCUCCCCAGGGACGGUCCUCA
rnacentral:piRNA from 1 species